rnacentral:rRNA from 1 species
GACGAACGCUGGCGGCGUGCCUAAUACAUGCAAGUAGAACGCUGAAGGAGGAGCUUGCUUCUCUGGAUGAGUUGCGAACGGGUGAGUAACGCGUAGGUAACCUGCCUGGUAGCGGGGGAUAACUAUUGGAAACGAUAGCUAAUACCGCAUAAGAGUAGAUGUUGCAUGACAUUUGCUUAAAAGCUGCAAUUGCAUCACUACCAGAUGGACCUGCGUUGUAUUAGCUAGUUGGUGAGGUAACGGCUCACCAAGGCGACGUUACAUAGCCGACCUGAGAGGGUGAGCGGCCACACUGGGACUGGGACACGGCCCAGAAUCCUACGGGAGGCAGCAGUAGGGAAUCUUCGGCAAUGGACGGAAGUCUGACCGAGCAACGCCGCGGGGGUGAAGAAGGUUUUCGGAUCGUAAAGCUCUGUUGUAAGAGAAGAACGAGUGGGAGAGUGGAAAGUUCACACUGUGACGGUAUCUUACCAGAAAGGGACGGCUAACUACGUG